rnacentral:rRNA from 1 species
UACGAAGGGAGCUAGCGUUGCUCGGAAUCACUGGGCGUAAAGCGCACGUAGGCGGAUUUGCCAGUCAGGGGUGAAAUCCCGGGGCUCAACCUCGGAACUGCCUUUGAUACAGCAAGUCUUGAGUUCGAGAGAGGUGGGUGGAAUUCCUAGUGUAGAGGUGAAAUUCGUAGAUAUUAGGAAGAACACCGGUGGCGAAGGCGGCCCACUGGCUCGACACUGACGCUGAGGUGCGAAAGCGUGGGGAGCAAACAGG